UACAGAGGGUGCAAGCGAUAAUCGGAAUUACUGGGCGUAAAGGGUGCGUAGGUGGAUACGUAAGUCAGAUGUGAAAUCCCCGGGCUUAACCUGGGAACUGUAUUUGAUACUGCGAAUCUAGAGUAUGGUAGAGGUAAGUGGAAUUUCCAGUGUAGCGGUGAAAUGCGUAGAUAUUGGGAGGAACAUCAGUGGCGAAGGCGACUUACUGGACUGAUACUGACACUGAGGCACGAAAGCGUGGGGAGCAAACAGGAUUAGAUAUCCUGGUAGUCCAUGCUGUAAACGAUGAGAACUAGAUGUUAGGUGGCAUGACCACUUAGUAUCGAAGCUAACGCGAUAAGUUCUCCGCCUGGGGAGUACGGCCGCAAGGUUAAA
rnacentral:rRNA from 1 species